UACGUAGGGAGCUAGCGUUGUUCGGAAUCACUGGGCGUAAAGCGCACGUAGGCGGAUGUGUCAGUCAGGGGUGAAAUCCCGGAGCUCAACUUCGGAACUGCCUUUGAUACAGCACAUCUGGAGUCCGGAAGAGGUGGGUGGAAUUCCUAGUGUAGAGGUGAAAUUCGUAGAUAUUAGGAAGAACACCGGUGGCGAAGGCGGCCCACUGGUCCGGUACUGACGCUGAGGUGCGAAAGCGUGGGGAGCAAACGGG
rnacentral:rRNA from 1 species